CGAUGAAAAAAAAAAUGGACAUGAAAAAAAUAGAAAUGAAAAAAAUUGGGGAGGACAAGUGUAAGGCAGUGGAGAUGGAAAAUGUAGAUUUGUAUAUUUCCUGCAGGGAGCAAAUGUUUUUUACUU
rnacentral:ribozyme from 1 species